rnacentral:rRNA from 1 species
UACGAAGGGGGCUAGCGUUGCUCGGAAUCACUGGGCGUAAAGGGUGCGUAGGCGGGUUUUUAAGUCAGGGGUGAAAUCCUGGAGCUCAACUCCAGAACUGCCUUUGAUACUGAAGAUCUUGAGUCCGGGAGAGGUGAGUGGAACUGCGAGUGUAGAGGUGAAAUUCGUAGAUAUUCGCAAGAACACCAGUGGCGAAGGCAGCUCGCUGGGACGUAACUGACGCUGAGACGCGAAAGCGUGGGGAGCAAACAGG